GGAGGGAUUCCCGAGUUGGCCAAAGGGGGCAGACUGUAAAUCUGUUGUCAGUGACUUCAGAGGUUCGAAUCCUCUUCCCUCCACCA
rnacentral:tRNA from 1 species